AGACAUUUCGUAACGAAUAAAUAAAGGCGCGAGACCUAGUGAUACAAAUCUUUUAUGUCCUGCUUUUCUCUGUAGAGAAGAGGCUAGCUUACAUGAAGAUGCAACUUGCCGUUUGAUGGGUGCUGAUAUUAUUGAUGACAACAGGACUCGCGUUAGCAGACCUCGGAAGUCAAAUACGAAAUGACAAUAGAAACAAAAUUUCUUGGUAAUCGUAUCGAUAAAACAGUAAAACGUCGGUAGGCCGACGUUACAAAUGUCACGUCUAUUCUGUACCUCGUGGAUAAGAUAAUCACUGACGAGCCAUCUCUGAUAAUUCCCAUGUUCGCCGUAGAAAAUCGUAGAGGGCGUAAGAAACAUUUUGACUUUUUGACAGGCGGUAUUUCAUAACCUAUGACACAAAGUUCCAUUUCGUUAUAUCUAUUCUGUCCUUAGUUAAUAUUUUAUUUGGCUGGCGCAUAAUGCCGUGAAAGUGCUGGUAACCAGUACUGACGCAUACGCUGCCACAAUUAUAGGAAUAAUUAUAAGCAGAAUUCACAGUAGCGAUAACUUUUAAUGUCUAUACAUAUACCAAAUAAGUUAUUAAUAUAUUUCUUGAAAAAUUCUUCUAUAUUUAAAACAAAAGCUUUCAACGCAGAGUGAAAGACGAAUUUUAUUUUCGAGACAAGCUACUUCUAUAAUAUGACAGAAAGAUGAUGCAAGGAUUUUAGAAAACUCUGACAAUCGCUACUGUAUCUCAUCUCUGGUAUUAGACUAUCAAAUAGAAUGAAGCAGACAAGAAGGUUGUUUAAAAAAGAAUGUAUGAAAUUAUAAUGUACGAGGAAGUGCAAUUUCAGGAUGAAAUAAUCUCAACAACGUUAAUCUUUUCAUUUUAUUGUACCAAAAAAUUUCAUCUCGUUCAAUCAUUAUUAAUUCAAUAUAAUAUAUUUAUCCUUUAUAUUUGUUAUAUCUUAUUUAUAAUAAAUAUUUAUAAUAGUGUAGUAUUCAUCGUUAUUCUUUAUUGUGUCGCCAUGAGCCAUGAAAACGUGGAAUCAGCAAGUUCUUAAUUACCGUUACUAUACUAACUAGAAAGACGUUUUGUGAUCCUUUUUAAUAAAUCCACGAAACAUAUUAACAGAAGCACGCCACGUGGUUGCGUGCUUCUCUCUUUCUCUUCCUCUCUCUCUCUCUUUUUUUGUAUGUUUUCUUUUCGUUUUCUUUUUUUACUUUACUUUUUUUUCUAAAAAGAGUAAAGUGCGGAGACACUUGUGUAAAUUCCCAGAUAUUUUUACCGGAAAAACAGUUUGUUCCUUCUCCUUAUUUUCCCUUCUUUUAACCGUGUAUUUUAAUUGAUGAUAGCAUUCAGACAUAGACAAUUCAUACGUUAAAACAAUAGAUACCUAAGGAAAUUUUACAACUCGCUUAAGGCUCUAGUUCCCUUAAAUCAGUUCGAAUUAGAAUCCAAACGAGGAACGUGUAUAUGUGUAUGUUAAUAUUCUCCGAUAAUUUCGGAUUCGUAUCGACAAUAUCUUCACCGAACGAUUAUUCGCAAAUACAUGAUCUUCUCUUUUUACGCCGUGAUCGUUUCUAUUGAUCGAACAAUAAAUCGAACAAUUGAAACCCUCGUAUGUAACUGAUUUUAAUGUACUAAGGCCUUAAUGUGUCAAAGCAGCGGAGCUAAUUACCGUUAUAUAAUAAGAAAAUAUAUAUACCUCUACGGACACCAAUAAUUCGAUCUCACGAUUGUACGUGGAACGUAGACACAGUUCCCAAAAACAUUACUUCUUUUUCUCAUUUUCUUUUAUUUAUCUAUUUAUCUUCUUAUUUUUCUUUUUUUUUUUUUUUUUUUACUAUCAAGUCGAUUUUCGGAAAUUCGCAAACAAGUGCUCCAAAAAUUUUCCACGUCGCUACGUUCCUCUUUUUAAUUCCUCUAAAGCUUAACUUUGACUUCUUUACUUAUUUUUUUCUUUUUCUUUUUUCUUUAACAAGUACCUCGAUUCCCUGUAAACCCUGCAGUACUCACGCGAGUCAACGAGUUUGUUGGUCGGCUGGCGUUCCGACAGGUUUACAUAUAGCACGUGUUGUAUCUUUACGGCUUUCUGCGAAAACUGAAUUGAACACAUUAGACUGCAACAAGAACAUUUUUUUCCUUUUCUUUGUUCUUUUUAUUGACGAUUCUGUGUCGCUAAGUAUUACGAGUAGACUGUGGAUGUUUAUGCAAACUCACAUUUCUAUAUAAACAUAAUCAGAGAAAAACGAAGUCUACAGAGAGAAUAUCAUAACAAAUAUCGUACUGUAAAUAUUUUUACAGACUGUGUGCAUUCUAUACUUUCUUGUAUUUUUUAAGUUUCCCAUUAAUGCAUAAAAAUCCGCAAUCUAAUUAUGAUGUAUCACCGACUGACUUACUGCAGAGUUAAUGACAAUCGUGUUUUGUAUGUUUCAGCAUCUUAAUGUUAAUCUGACAUUACAUGCUACGUAUUGAGAAUACUUCUACCGACGCAGUACCUAAGUUUUAAAGCCCUGCAUACUCGAACCUGAUUUUUGUUUACUUCUUUGUUCUUUUUUUUCUGAGCGACUGUGACAAGUCAAUAAUAAAACGUCUUCACUUUCACGUGACUGAGACUCACCGACUAACAGUCGCUUAAAAGAAAAUAUGUUUCUUCCUUUUCUUUCUUUCCUUCCUCUUAUCGUUUCUCUCCUCUCUCUCUCUUUUAUAUCUGUUAUUGUGCAUCACCUUCCUCUUAAUCGUCCAUCACAUAUAUAUAAUUGCAUUUAUGUAUCAACUAUUUCGCGAUCGAAUCAGACGAUCGAAUAGAAUGUUCCUCAACUUCCGUCACUGCAUCCCAUCUCGUAUAAUGAGAUUUACUACGCUUACAAAUUUCAAAAUAUUACAGCGUACUUCAAUGUAUCAGACGCAUAAUGGAGAAUAUAUUUCGUGACUCGUUUUAUUCGUUACCUUAAAAUUUAAUUUUCAUUUAACUUUAACUUCUAAAAUUAAAAAGAAGAAAGAAGAGAAAAAAGUAACAAGCUCGUACCUUCACGAUAAUCCUAUGAUCGUUCUUUUCACAAUAAGUACAUUAUCGACGAUUCACGAAGAAAAUUUCACAACGAUUCUCUUCGCUCGUUUAUGCUGAAACAUUUAAACACAGAAUUUCGCGUUUUCAUAGUAUACGAAUUCCUUAUUGUGGCCAUGUUGGAUAUCGACUUCACGUACAAUAUCGUGAAAUUCGUCUAAGAUGCUGCAAAAGUUCAACUUUGCAUCGUUAUGCGUCGUUCAUAACAGUUUUUCUUUUCCUUUUUUUUUUUUUUUUUUUUUUUUAAUAUAUAUAUAUGACUA